rnacentral:rRNA from 1 species
AACGCGAAGAACCUUACCUACUCUUGACAUCCUGCGAAUUCUGAAGAGAUUUAGAAGUGCCGAAGGAACGCAGAGACAGGUGCUGCAUGGCUGUCGUCAGCUCGUGUUGUGAGAUGUUGGGUUAAGUCCCGUAACGAGCGCAACCCUUGUCCUUAGUUGCCAGCAAGUAAAGUUGGGGACUCUAAGGAGACCGCCGGUGAUGAACCGGAGGAAGGCGGGGACGACGUCAAGUCAUCAUGGCCUUUAUGAGUAGGGCUACACACGUGCUACAAUGGGGCGUACAGAGGGUAGCCAACCCGCGAGGGGGAGCCAAUCUCUUAAAGCGUCUCGUAGUCCGGAUUGGAGUCUGCAACUCGACUCCAUGAAGUUGGAAUCGCUAGUAAUCGCGAAUCAGCAACGUCGCGGUGAAUACGUUCCCGGGCCUUGUACACACCGCGCAUA